GGAUAGUGUGUAUUAUCAUUGUUGCAGUUAAAAAGCUCGUAGUUGGAUUUCGAAUAGAUUAUUUUGGAAUUGUCUUUGUGAUUCUGAAAAAGUUUCCUCUGUACAUCCAUUAUCUAUUCUUCUUUGUAGGUUUGAUUUAUUCAUAAAUUAAGCGGCAUUCGAAUUUAGAUUGAUCUAUCCAACAUGGAUUUUUCAUUUUAUUUUCUUAUAAAACUUUUUUUCUUGGAUAUUUUGUAUUCCUACAUUGUUUACUUUGAAAAAAUCAAGGUGUUCAAAGCAGGUAUAACCCUUUGGGUUUUAUUGCCUGAAUGUAUUAGCAUGGGAUAAUGAAAAAUGACUUUCAAGUCACAAUUUUCAUUGGUUUCUGUGGCUUUAGUAAUGAUUAAAAGAUGCAGACGGGGUCAUCUGUAUUAAUCCGUGAGAGGUGAAAUUCUAAGACCGGAUUAAGACAAACUAGUGCGAAGGCAUUUGACAAGAAUGUUUNCAUUGA
rnacentral:rRNA from 1 species